GACGAACGCUGGCGGCGUGCCUAAUACAUGCAAGUAGAACGCUGAAGAGAGGAGCUUACUCUUCUUGGAUGAGUUGCGAACGGGUGAGUAACGCGUAGGUAACCUGCCUUGUAGCGGGGGAUAACUAUUGGAAACGAUAGCUAAUACCGCAUAACAAUGGAUGACACAUGUCAUUUAUUUGAAAGGGGCAAUUGCUCCACUACAAGAUGGACCUGCGUUGUAUUAGCUAGUAGGUGAGGUAAUGGCUCACCUAGGCGACGAUACAUAGCCGACCUGAGAGGGUGAUCGGCCACACUGGGACUGAGACACGGCCCAGACUCCUACGGGAGGCAGCAGUAGGGAAUCUUCGGUAAUGGGGGCAACCCUGACCGAGCAACGCCGCGUGAGUGAAGAAGGUUUUCGGAUCGUAAAGCUCUGUUGUAAGUCAAGAACGGGUGUGAGAGUGGAAAGUUCACACUGUGACGGUAGCUUACCAGAAAGGGACGGCUAACUACGUG
rnacentral:rRNA from 1 species